AAUCAAACGACGUAGGAAAGAAUUGACCGAAUAUUUAUGUGUUUAAUUUAGAAGUAAGAGACUUGAUUGAACAUAUAGAUUAACUUAAUUAAGAAUUAUGUAAUAUGUUAUAUGGAAUUAAAUGCUGCUAUAUCUAGCUAGCACUACACAUAAGGUAUAGAUUUAAUUCUGAAGAUGAAUUUGAUCAAAUCUAUAAUUUAAAAAAUUAUGAG
rnacentral:lncRNA from 1 species